AAAAAAUAAUUUGAAUGUCGAUUAUAAUAUUUUAUUCUAAACAUUUGACAAUAUUUUCUAUCUCUCAAAUAUACAAAAUUCUUGAAAAAAAUCAAGGGAUUGUACAAAACAAGAAACUCCUGCAUCCAAACAGAGUCUUAAAGUAUUCUAUUUGCGAAUUAACUCAUUGACUAAAAACAACGGUAAGGGAUCAAACAAAGCAGAAGAAAACCCAAUUUCAGAGUGUAAUGAUAGGUUGUGAUCAUAAAGUGUUAUUUGGAAAAUGCUGACAGAAGAUGUAGAAUAUAAUAUUAUCUAUGAUAGUACCUUU
rnacentral:lncRNA from 1 species